UGUGCCCAUGUGACCCUUAAGGUCUUCUACGGUCCACUAAUCUUUCGCGAUAGCGCCCACGUGAACACAUGAACACAGUACUGACCAGUGUCCAGUUGAGCUACGGCCAGCGAGACGACAUUUGAGAAUCAGUCAAGUGAAAGAGAAGUUGGUCGGUAAGCCUACGAAAACGCCUCCCACCACUCAACCCCUUGACAUCAGAGCCGAGAAUGGGUACAUAGACAUCAUCAUAAAGGUUUUCUAAAUUCUGGACUUGAGAAAUAUCAUCCCACCUUGUUCUAAUGCUAAGGAAGGCGCAUACAACACGAUGGCUCACCUCAUGUGCGCUGGUCACCUGGAGCCGAAAGAAGAUAGGAAGAUACACAUGCGCUGCAACAGCAAUAGCCGGAAAGUAACUGAGCG